CUAAGAAUCUUCCGCAAUGGGCGAAAGCCUGACGGAGCGACGCCGCGUGGAGGAGGAAGGCCGAGAGGUUGUAAACUCCUUUUCUGCGUGAGGAAUAAUGUGAGGAGGGAAUGCCUUGCAGAUGACGGUAGCGCAGGAAUAAGCCCCGGCCAAUUACGUGCCAGCAGCCGCGGUAAUACGUAUGGGGCGAGCGUUGUUCGGAAUCAUUGGGCGUAAAGGGCGCGCAGGCGGCUGCGCAAGCCUGGUGUGAAAGACCACAGCUUAACUGUGGGCACGCGCUGGGAACUGUGCAGCUUGAGUUCCGGAGGGGAAGCUGGAAUUCCAGGUGUAGGGGUGAAAUCUGUAGAUAUCUGGAAGAACACCGGCGGCGAAGGCGAGCUUCUGGCCGUGAACUGACGCUGAGGCGCGAAAGCGUGGGGAGCGAACAGGAUUAGAUACCCCCGUAGUCC
rnacentral:rRNA from 1 species